AGAGUUUGAUCCUGGCUCAGGACGAACGCUGGCGGCGUGCUUAACACAUGCAAGUCGAGCGGAAAGGCCUUUCGGGGCACUCGAGCGGCGAACGGGUGAGUAACACGUGAGCAACCUGCCCUACGCUUUGGGAUAACCCUCGGAAACGGGGGCUAAUACCGAAUAUUCAUUGCCUGUCGCAUGGUGGGUGGUGGAAAGUUUUUCGGCGUGGGAUGGGCUCGCGGCCUAUCAGCUUGUUGGUGGGGUGAUGGCCUACCAAGGCGACGACGGGUAGCCGGCCUGAGAGGGCGACCGGCCACACCGGGACUGAGACACGGCCCAGACUCCUACGGGAGGCAGCAGUGAGGAAUAUUGCACAAUGGGCGGAAGCCUGAUGCAGCGACGCCGCGUGAGGGAUGACGGCCUUCGGGUUGUAAACCUCUUUCAGCAGGGACGAAGCGUAAGUGACGGUACCUGCAGAAGAAGCGCCGGCCAACUACGUGCCAGCAGCCGCGGUAAGACGUAGGGCGCGAGCGUUGUCCGGAUUUAUUGGGCGUAAAGAGCUCGUAGGCGGCUUGUCGCGUCGACUGUGAAAACCCGCGGCUCAACUGCGGGCCUGCAGCCGAUACGGGCAGGCUAGAGUUCGGUAGGGGAGACUGGAAUUCCUGGUGUAGCGGUGAAAUGCGCAGAUAUCAGGAGGAACACCGGUGGCGAAGGCGGGUCUCUGGGCCGAUACUGACGCUGAGGAGCGAAAGCGUGGGGAGCGAACAGGAUUAGAUACCCUAGUAGUCC
rnacentral:rRNA from 1 species